rnacentral:lncRNA from 1 species
UGGACUUUGUCCCCAGCAGCCCCCUGGCAUCCAGCCAGGAGAGACGCAGUCCAUGCUGCGUCUGCAGACGUGGAGACCUCGUGGCUGGCUCUGUCCAUGCCCUCUGCCCUUACUCUUUCUCCAUUUCCUUGCUUUCUGUCUUGCAGGAAGUGUGACUUUCUCCUCUCUGCGCAACUGA